UACAGGAAGGAGGGGCCAACACUUGGAGUAGCCUUUCCCAAUCUGUGUCCUGUCCGGAGCUACUAAAAACAAAGGAUUUUGAAGCAAGGAAGAUUGGGUUCUCACAAUGCCUCCAACCAGUGCACAUUGUUAGAAACAUGCUAAUAAACUUUAUAGCAUACCAGAAUGUGCACUGAAUGUGCACUGAAUGCAAGAAUGGUUUCAUCCACUUAUCCAUUUAUAUGAGAACCCAUUGCAAGUUCAGCACACGGGCAUCCUGGGCGCCAGACAUGCAGAGGUCCAAAUGUUGAAAUUUCUGCCUUGACAAGCAACAUGGGGAAAGAAGAUUCAGAUCACAGGUUCAACUUUUUAUUGGACAUGAACAAGAGGUUUAGUCAAAAAGACCAAAGCCCAUGCCAUCAUCAGACUCCUCAGACUGUUGAGAUGCUAAGGGGGAACCAUAAGGCCCCACUCAUGCUAGUCAAAUGCUCUACCACUCAACUACACCCUAAACCCUAUGUUUUUGUUUUUAAUUUUAUUCUGAAUGCUCUACAUGCAUGUACAACUGCAUGCCAGAAGAGUGCAGCAGAGAGUAUAGGUGAUUGUGAGCCACCAUGUGUUUGCUGGGAAUUGAACUCUGGAAGAGCAGACAGAGCUCUUAACCACUGAGCCAUCUCUCCAGCCCCUAGUUUUUGUUUUUCAAAGAAUUUACUAAGUGAAAAUGUUUACAACAUUUUGUAUUGUACCUUCACUGUUUAUCUUAACAGAAUAUUCCCUGAAGUUGAAGCUUUCCUUUAUUCAUUUGUGUGUAUUGGUGGUGUUUGAGUGUGUCAUGUAUGCACACCUGUGUAUGAGAGUGUGUGCACACACCUGUCAGGAGCCUAGAGGAGGACUUCGGAUUACAGGUAUGCUUGGAAUUGUAGGAAAUGUUGGUGCUUUGAGUUUGACCUCAGGCCUUCAUUCCUGAGCAGAGAGCACUCUUAUCUGAGGAGCCAUCUCCUCAGCUACACUAUUUGGUUACUUUAUGGUGGCUUAUAUAGACAAGGGAAGGUUAAACCCUUGAUAGUUUCCCUUUAUUUAUUGGUUUCUCGGUAAAUUUGAUCUCUGGUAUUUUUAUAAGUGACCACUAAGAGUUUUGCUUUACUUCCCCCUCUUUCCCUCCCUCUUUCUUUUCCUUUUUCCUUCUUUUUCUCUUUCCUUCUCUCUUCUCCCCUCCCCUUCUUUUUCCUCUUUCCAUUUUCUUUCUUCAUGGUGAUGGGUAUAAACCCAACGCCUUCCCUGAGCCUGCUGGGCAAGUUCUCUGCCAUAUUCCCACCUCUCAUAUUUUUGAAUCAGGGUUGUGCUUUGUAGUCCAGGCUGGCCUCAAACUCAUGGUCCUUCAGCCUCUAACUUCAGAGUGUUGAGAUCACAGGCUUGCACAAUUGUACCCAGUGAGCUCACAGUAAUCCCAGACUAAGAGCAAUAAUGCCAAAAGUCAAUAAAUGUUUCUGGUGCCAUAACUUGUUUGACACUGGUGCAUUUGCUUUCUGGUAGCUUUUGAAGUAGUUGACUUUGAAACCUAGAUUUUUUUUAGAUCUGGUUAAUAUUCUCUAUACAUUACUUCUCUCCUGUAUUGGUGUCUUGACACCAUAAGAUUAUUACCCAAAUCACUGUUCAGAUUUUUAUAUGGACACAUAUCUCUACCUACCUACCUAUCCAUCACCUUUCUAUCUAUCUGUCUGU